rnacentral:rRNA from 1 species
UACGAAGGGGGCUAGCGUUGCUCGGAAUCACUGGGCGUAAAGGGUGCGUAGGCGGGUCUUUAAGUCAGGGGUGAAAUCCUGGAGCUCAACUCCAGAACUGCCUUUGAUACUGAGGAUCUUGAGUUCGGGAGAGGUGAGUGGAACUGCGAGUGUAGAGGUGAAAUUCGUAGAUAUUCGCAAGAACACCAGUGGCGAAGGCGCUCACUGGCCCGGUACUGACGCUGAGGCACGAAGGCCAGGGGAGCAAACGGG